rnacentral:lncRNA from 10 species
GGAUUGGGAUAUUCCGACUCCUUAAGGGCCUGGCGCACAUAAGGUGUGACCUUUUCAUUCCCGUUGUUAUGGAGGUAGGCUCUCUAGGAAUCUGGGAGUAGUAGCUGGGGGGCAAGAGCAAAUAAAGAGCUCGAGCUUCUGUGGUCUCUGGGGAGAUGUUCCCGGGAAGCCUGUCUAGAGGGCGGAGGGCAGCUGUUGAGAUGGCGUGGCUCCCCGGCUCCUGCGCCCGCGUGGCUUUCGCGGCGGGCGCUGCGGCCCGGUAUUGGACAGCCUGGCAGGGCAGCGCGGGGCCGAAUCCGGCUGCCGUGGCUGAGGCUCAUGGAUCACUCUUUUGUGGUAGGGCCACAUCUGCCAGAGCCUGGAGUCUGCGAAGGCCGGGACCCGGUUCCCCGGCCCACAGUGGGGGUGUGCAAACCCGAGAGAACUGGUCGCUGAAACCUCUACAACUUAGUUGACCGUAACUGCCAGAGCCCUGCCCUGAAUUCCUGUCCUUACUCCCUCUUUAAGAUUGCGUACCCACUGCAGAGUGCUGAAGACGGGGUAGCCACGAGGUUGCAAAUUCGUGAAGAAUCAGCAUCAUGUUUGGCAGCUGAGUAUUGGAGCCAGGAGCCUGCCAUGAGGUUUUGAGAACAGAGUGCUGUUUUAGAGCUGGCAGCAGCAUCUCAGCCCAAGAGAAGGUUAUAUUCCCAGAGGAUGUCAGUCCCAAGGACCAGUAGCUGCCAUCAGUUUGGAUUCUGAAAACUAACUGGCAUCAACACUGGGUGUAGAAACAUGCUUGCCUUAUGUAUCAGAGGACAUGCUCAGCAGAUCCAAGAGAUAUAUUUGGCAACUUUUUCUAGAAAAGGCACAUUGGGUAUCAUUCAUUACAUUCUUGAGUUUUUUUGGGUUUUUUUUUUUUUUUUUGAGACAGUCUUGCUGUAUUGCCCAGGCUGGAGUGUGGUGGCACAAUCACAGCUCAUUGCAUCCUCAAUCACCCAGGCCUAAGCAAUCCUCCCACCUUGUAGCUGGGACUACAGCUCACAGCACACCUGGCUAAAAUUUUUUUUUUGUUGAGACGGAUUCUCUAUGUUGCCCAGGCUGGUCUCAGGCUCCUGGGCUCAGAUGGUCCUCCUGCCUCAGCUUCCAAAGGCACAGGCCAAGUUGUAGCUUUGUCCCUUGCCAUCAUGCCCAACAAGAGGUUCUAUACCUUUUAAUGAAUUGACUUUCAUAAAUUGGUUAUGUUGGUGGGCAAAGUUCUUUAAGCUGGAAAUUGUAAAUUCCUCCUGAAAUGUUUUUUCAUGCAGUUACCAUGAACUAAUACUACAAUAAAGGAUGGUCUUGGGUGUCAAUUCUUGAA